rnacentral:rRNA from 1 species
CCUACGGGUGGCAGCAGUGAGGAAUAUUGGUCAAUGGGCGCGAGCCUGAACCAGCCAAGUAGCGUGAAGGAUGACUGCCCUAUGGGUUGUAAACUUCUUUUAUCUGGGAAUAAAAUGUUCCACGUGUGGCAUUUUGUAUGUACCUUAUGAAUAAGGAUCGGCUAACUCCGUGCCAGCAGCCGCGGUAAUACGGAGGAUCCGAGCGUUAUCCGGAUUUAUUGGGUUUAAAGGGAGCGUAGGUGGGUUGUUAAGUCAGUUGUGAAAGUUUGCGGCUCAACCGUAAAAUUGCAGUUGAAACUGGCAGUCUUGAGUACAGUAGAGGUAGGCGGAAUUCGUGGUGUAGCGGUGAAAUGCUUAGAUAUCACGAAGAACUCCGAUUGCGAAGGCAGCCUACUGGACUGCAACUGACACUGAUGCUCGAAAGUGUGGGUAUCAAACAGGAUUAGAUACCCUUGUAGUC